GGGGGCAGCCAUUUUCUUAAAGGCUGUUAAGCUAACGACCCCUUCAAAGUACUCAGAUGAGAAACCUCGGGUUCUUUCCGGUCUAGUAGUUAUCAACCGCGGUAGCAAUAAAAGGCUUCUAUCACUGAGACCUAGAAGUGUCUAAUUCAAGUGUCGCUUGCUCCGCAGGUCCUCCACUUUAGUUGUUUCCUUAGUCCUUAGAACCAUGGAUGGCGCAAGCCCAGAAAACGGGCCUUGACUUUUUAAAAGAUGUGCUCCGAAGGACGAGGCCUAAAUCGGAAGCCUUAGGAUAAAACAAGUCCCUGAGAAGUCCUGGCGCUUUAAGGGUGCGUGCCAACGGGGCGGAGUCUAGAGCGGAAGUUAUAAAUCAGGACCGAAGUCCUGCUGAUGAAAGGCGGAAGUGGAAUGUCCGAGGCUGCAGUCAUGGCGCAGGAAGAGGAAGAUAUUCGGGACUACAAUUUGAAUGCGAAGCAGAAGGCCACCAAGGCCAAGUAUCCUCCAGUCAAUCGGAAGUACGAGUAUUUGGAUCAUACAGCAGAUGUCCAGUUACAUGCAUGGGGAGAUACUCUGGAGGAAGCUUUCGAGCAAUGUGCAAUGGCCAUGUUUGGUUACAUGACAGAUACUGACACGGUGGAGCCCCUCCAAGCAAUAGAAGUAGAAACACAAGGAGAUGAUUUGCAGUCUCUUCUGUUUCACUUUUUGGAUGAGUGGCUUUAUAAGUUCAGUGCUGAGGAGUUCUUCAUACCUCGGGAAGUAAAAGUACUUAGUCUUGAUCAAGUAAAUUUCAAAUUACGGUCAAUUGGGUGGGGGGAAGAAUUCUCAUUGUCCAAGCAUCCUCAGGGAACUGAAGUCAAGGCAAUAACAUACUCAGCCAUGCAGGUCUAUACUGAAGAGAAGCCAGAAGUGUUUGUGAUCAUUGACAUUUAAGAUCAAGAAAAAAACUCCUAUGAAGAACUGUUUUUUUCUCAUCCUUUUGAGAAGAUACCAUAAUAUAAAUUCUACAGUCUCUGACAAUAUGAUGGUUUGGGUUUGCAGAACAGGAAUUUUUGACUUAAAGUAUGACUUUCCCACAAAUGGAAAAUCAAGGCAUCGUCUUGGUGCCUCACAUCCUUCCAAUGGAAUGCCAGCCCUCCAGCCUGGUCCCAAAAGGGAUCAUUGGUGUAAACAUCAGCCAGAGAGACUCUGAAGCCUCCACACUCUUAUUGAAUCCAAUUUGGGAGAAAAAAUGAUAAUUUGAGAAAUUUUACAAUCAAGAUUUUGCUUUCCCUCCAAAUUGGUUAAGACAUAUAUUUUCUAUAUGAAUAUUAAGAGGUUGUAUUUUAGAUUGCUGUAGGACAGAGCCAUCCUGUAUUCUAGUUGGUUAUCUUAGAAGAAAUAAUUAUAAUUGAAUAAUUGGGAGACUUCUCUAGAAAGAGCCUGAUUUUCUAUCUCACUUUUUUUUAAACACUGAUAUACUGACACGUUCUUGUUUUUCCACAAGAAAAAUUUAAUGCCCUUAAAAAUGGGCCCUUCUAUCAUGUAAUUUUAUAUUAAAGCCAGUAUACUUAUACAGUUA